CAUUCACAACCUCUCUGGGCAGAUUUAAAUAAUAAAACUUCAGUAUCAAUAUUGCAUUUACCUCUAGAAGGAUAACUAAACACUUUUUCCAUCAAAUUAGUUUAAGACAAGAAACUUUACAGUGAACUCAUUUCCAGUACUAGUUUUGGAGUAUAAAUUAUCCCAACACAGUGGUUUCCAGAAUUUGUUUUCUUAGUUUCUCUUGUCUUAUCUCCCACAUUUCUCUGUAGGCCAAGGACAUCAUUCUUUUAAUACAGUGCUUUGCUGAGGAGAACUAGCUAUCUGUUGAUAGAUCAGGCAUAUUGGGGUGCAUUCAGGUCACUGGAACACUGGGAUGUUAUUUGGGAAGGCAGUUCUGCAACUUGUCCCUUGUUUGUUCUGUGUCAAGGGAGCAUUAUUUUAAGAAAUAUCAAGGGAAGUUAAGGUGACUCCUAGAGCUUCGUGAAGGCUGGUCUGCUGUAUCUGUAGGGUUUUUAGUAGAACCAACAACUAAACAGCUUGCAAAGUUCAAUUUGCAAACUUGAGUCAGCUGUGAGAUAGGACAGAUUCUUUCCACCAGAUUAUUUGUGAUAUAAGAAUACUGGCAUCAUCAUGCAACCAAACGUCUGCUGUAGUUCUUAAAGACUGUUAAUCAUCAAUUAAACUGCACCAAAAGAGUGUUUUCUUAAGUCAGCUCUUUAUGAAGAAAAGGUCAGUAGUAGUUUUAUGUCCUUUUGUUGAUAUGUUAUAAAUGUAUUAUUGUAGAAGUCUACUUGAUAGUAGGUAGUUCAUAGUAUGUUGAUAACGCAAACUGUCUGCAAGCUUCAGUCAUUUCCUCAACCUACUGUAACAGCAGAAUUUAUUUUACUUGUCUUGAUAAUGCUUGUGCAGUUAGGAGUUCCAGAUCACUGGAGACUGAAGUACUGUGAUACAUAGAUUAUUUAUAAGUUGAUCUUUUCUGUCUUUUAAGCUGUAUGUGGAGGAUGGAAUUCAUUUGAGGAAUCCUACUUUUAAAUAGUAGAGUAUCAAGUUGGGUGUAGAAGGACUAAAUGUGAGAUUGUUUGCAUGUGGAAAAGAUGUUUGAUGGUAAGUACAGCCAACUAAUGCUAAUUCUCUUGCACUUAAUUGGAGCAUAAGAUUGUUGACUGUGGGACUGUGUAAAGACAAUGAGUUUUGGUCUGUUACUGAUGGAAGGUAUAUUUUAUACAAUGAAUAGAAUUUGGUAUUUGCAGCCUUUACUUUAGUGUACCAUAGGUCCCAUUGUGCAACUGAACUUCUGCUUCACUAUUUCUCCAGAACACGUGUUGUAGAAAUGAUAGGGUUAAUGCUCAUUAUUCUGGUGCUGGUUACAUUUGAAUUCUUCAAACUGAGAGGCAGAUCACAAACUCCACAUGAAAUUGACCUUUUAAAACUGAUUUCCUAGAGUAGUUUCUUGAUGUUUUUACUACUUAUCCAUUGAGUUAUUAUGGUUUCCACAGGCUGCUUCUUGAGGUGCAACUGUUCUGUAAAAUCAAGUAGGAAUUUGUAGCUGGUUACUAAAAAUGAAGAAUAAAAGCAAUGGGUUUGUCUGAACUGAGCAUGACAGAAGUCCUAUGAGAAGGUUUUUUGUUUUUCUUACAGGCACGUUAUUGUUGUUCAUGUGUAAGUAUGUGGGAAAGAGUUGGUAUGGUUAAAGUUACUUCUCUUAGGUUGUUUUCUUCCUAGUUUUGUGGUUCAUUUGUGUUGGAGAGAGUCCUUCCUUUUAAUGCAUUUUUGUUCUCUAGGGAAGUGCACUUUAAAUCUAGAUAAAAGCUAAUUUAUCAUGUAGAACCUCGAGACUUAAUGAUGUUUCUGUGUGGGAGCUCCUCUCUGGGUUUGGCUUGAAUCUUGUGGGCAGAUUUUACCACAGACCUGUACCUUUCAUCUAAUGAAGUAAUUGUUGUCUGUCUGUUAAUAACCAGCUACCUUGGUUAGUGGAUUUUGCAAAUACUUUUUAAGAAUUCCAUUGUUCAGAAAUCUGUUGCACUGCCAAGUUCUCCAAGGGAGGUUUUGUCUUAGGUGCUGUAGAUGCUUUGGAAUACUGAGGAAUGUUUCUGUUUGGUUUUGUGUUGUUUUGAUUUGCCUUCUGCCUCUCCUAAAGGUCAGAAUGCUUUCUGAACUGAUCUGUACUAUCUGCAUACCAGCAGGUGGAGCAUUGGUAGCACAAGAUGGGCUUCUGUCACUUAGUUCAGGUGUCUGGGAGGAAAAUAGUUCCUUCAGCAUUUUAGAAUCUCCAUGCAGGUGGAAGCUGCUGAGUGUUUGGCAUUAACGUGUAGCAUUAACAAAAAAUGUUGAAGGACAAUUUUCAGACUUGCAGGAGGGGUGAACUUGGAUGCAGAGAGCAAAAGGCAGCUUGGUGUUUCUCUGCUUUUUUUUUUUUUUUCAAAUGCCAGUUACCUGCUGUGAGGCGUGGAAUUAUUGAAGCUACAUCUAAAUGACUGUGAAGCUUUUAAGGGAACAGAAUUUUGCCAUGUUUGGGGGGGCUUUGUUUGCUGCAGAGUGAGAAGAGGUUCAUGUUGUGGUUUCACAGGUCACCUGCAUUGAUUUGAAGUUGUGUUGCCACCAAAACAGACAUUCCUGCCCUACAGUUGCUUCCUGCCAGUGCCAGGGACUGCCCUGCCAUCCAGUAACUGAGACCACCUGCCUGCAGAAAACUGAUCUUUUUUUUUUCCCCUCACUAGGAUUAGUUUGCAGCUAAAUAUAGUGGUUGGGUCCCAGUAACUUGCAUCAUAUUUUUAUCAAAUUCCUGUAAGGAUGGAAGAAGCAAGAAUCCCUCAGCCAGAAGUGAGGACAAGCAGGGCUACUGUUCUCCUACCCUACUCUUCCUAUGAUCAAUCUAAAUCACUCUGAAAUCACUGUGUAAGUACUACAGCAGUCUUUUCAUGUCUUUGGAAAGGUCCCUUAUGAUAAUGAUGCCAGCCUAAAGAUAAUGAUGAUAAACAAGAUUUAAUACCUCUGAGUGAAGCUCAUAUUACAGAGUUGUCUUUUGAGGUGUGACCAAGAUCUCAACUGCAUGGAAUUUUUGCAUUCAUACAUUAGUCUGUAUUUUUCAGACAUACCGAGAUGUCAAGUGUUUGGGUUCUGUGACUUAAAAUUUAGCUAGUAAAUAUGGUCUCAGGAUUGACUUUGGAAUGACUUUACAUCAUUAUCUGCAGAACACCUGUUGCUGGAAGUUGUGCAGUGGCAUUCUUUGUUGCUGAUUCUGCUUUUUCUCCUAAAUAUAUUUAUCUAUUUUCCUGUUCAGUUUGUUUCAUGUGAAAAGCAGAAAGAAGGAAGAUGAAUCUUCAUUCAUACUCCAUAAAGUACUUAGGGUACUUUGCCAAACUGAAGUUGGGAAUAUUUUCUAACAGAUCUCCCACAAUUUUUGGAAAUUCUGCUUGGAACAGUAUUGGGUGUAAUUUGGCAAUGCAAGUUUAGAAUGUUUUUUGUGACAUGGUGGACGUUAAUACGAACCUUGGAAUGGGCCUGUACACUUCCAGCUUCUUGGAAAAAGUGCUGCUUAAUGAAACCUUAAGGUGUUACUUCAGUUUGUAUUGCAGCUCUGUCUUAAGUCUUACAACUUCAGAAAAGAUUUCCUGCCCAGGUGUUUCUCCUGCCUCAUUUAUUCUCAUUGGAUAUAUCACUAAACUUGCAGAAUAACUGAAAGACCACUUAGGAGAUUACAUGGUUUAGUAGGGAAAUGGUGGUGGUAGGUGGACAGUUGAGCUAGAUGAUCUUGGAGGUCUCUUCCGACCUUGGUGAUUGAGGAACCACUUCUGCUCCAAAGUUUCCCAACUGCUUGUUUAUUGGUUUAAUUCUGUUUAUCAGUAAAGCUCUGUACUUGUACUGUGACAAAAGAGCAGUUUGGUGGGUCAUAGAGUAAGUCUCCUGCAUUUUGUUUAUUAUGGUUUGAAAAGCCAUAUUUAGAGUUGAUGGGAAAUAAGAUUUAGUAGGCAAAGCAGAGAGCAGAAAUCUGAAGUUUGUCCUUAAACGUAAAGAUUUCUUGCAUGUUGCUGAAGAGUCCUUCUUCAAAGUACUCUUGUGGGAGACAUCCUACAUCCAUUUCAAAUUGAAGACAGCUUCUACAAAACUCGAAGUGAAGAUAUCUUUCAUGCUGUCUACUCUCAAAGAUGCUGGUGUAAAAUAGGAAUCUGGAGGGGUUUUUUGAAGAGCACUGCUCGUGAUGUAUGAAGGUGACCCACAAACUCUCACUGUAGUAACGAUUGCCUUUUCUUUUAAUAGUCCAGCAGCUAACUGCUACAUUGUUCCAAGUAAGGAAAUAUGAAUCAAAACCAACAGAUCCACUCCUCCCAUAUUUACAGACUAGGAAGUCUGUUUUGCUGCUUUGAGUAAGAAACUAUAUAUGGAGGUGGCUUGAUGCUACAGCAAAUGUUGUUUGAGAGGCUAUGAAAAUAGUAGCUUUCUAAAGAUAUUUGUCAGAUCUUUUGCGCAAUUGACUUGAGAAUAUGAGGAAAUAUUUUCAAAACUAACUGUUUUGCCAGUGGGUUGUGUCUCUUUCCAGUUACUGUCCUGAAAACUGAUUUUCUGAUUUUUUCCUGAUAGCAACUUGGUGAAAUCUUACAUUUUGGAAAUGUUUUAAGAGUUAUUGAUUUAUUUAUUUGCUGUUGCAUCAUUUUUGUUUUGCGUUUGAUAUUGAUGGUUGAGCAAAUGCUGUGAUGACAUGCUGUCCUUGUGUGGAUGUUUCCUUUGGGGAUGGCAGGCUGUGUACACGUACUUAAAAGAAUGGGCCUGUAGCUUAUUACUGCACAACAAAACUUUUUUUAUGCACACUUAUAUGAUGUCCAUGACUUGCAUGCUUGCUGGGUUGUGUUUAUUUUUUGUGGGUAAUUCAGAAGUUGUAUAUAUUUUACUGGGACCAAGGUUAAGAUUCAGAGUCUUGCACAGAUCACUGAUGUCCUUCAAGGUUUAAUUGUGAUGAAGGAGUUGAGCUUGCACUUCACACCAUAAGGAGAAGUUGUUAUAACACUGCACUUCCACCAAAGUCUGCUUCCUUCAGUAACAAUCUCAGAUUCUGCUUAUUGAAAUUGUGCAUGUGAGAAUUUGUCAUAUCUGUGACUCAACGGGUUAAAAUAUGUUCACACAGAGCUGCACUUAGAACUGUUGUAUUGUGUUCCCUUUAGAUCUCUUGGUGGCCUGGCCCAACUUGUGUAUUUCCUUACCAGCUUCUCUAGUAGUAGAGUAACUUGGUGUAGUCUUAAUUGUGUUGCUGAUCUUAACUGAGCAUCCAAAGUGCUUUUGGUCAGCAGGUCAUCAGUAGGACUCUGUGGUAUUGAUGACUCAUUGGAGUUCUCAAUUUGUUUCCAGCAGCAUUACAGAGGACUACUUAUGGCAGCUGGUAUCACCAGAGAAUUAUAAUGUCAAAUGGGAGUGAAUAGUCAUUAAAUGAAGCAUUCUAAAUGUGUUAUCCUUCUGGAGUGUGCUACAUCAGACUGGGCUGAUACUCAGUCAAAAAAGGGGGGGGUGCAUCUCAGGUCUUGAUUUCUAUUUAUUUGUUUUAGGGAAGGUUUUUCCAUUUGCUCUUGAUCAUUUUUGAGUCAACAGGUAGGAAGGACUUCAGUGUUUUGCCCUGAAAAACACUAGAUGUGUUUUUCAAGCACAUCCAGUGCCUGAUAGACUUUCUGGCUUUAAAUUUAAGAAUUUAUUUCAGAUUAACUUCUUAUGAGUAGAGCUCAUCUGAUAUUAUUCCAGAGAACAUCUGUUGAAGGUAUUCUGUAUCCUAUUUCUUGUCAAGUCCUAGGGUUGGUUUUGCCCUCUUGCGUCUUCCUUCUGCUCCCCUUAAAAGAAAUGAUCAGAUUAAUUUCUUCAUGUUCAGUAGUGUGAACUUUCUUUAUGUGUUUCAGAUUGAAUAUAAGAUGCAGAUGAUCCUCCAAGGAAGCUUUUUCUCAAAAAACAAACAAAAAAACCUAGCUCAUUUUCUGAAGACAACUUUGUCAGUUGAACUAGAGAUGCUUCUUACCUUGACUGAAAAAGCAGACUAUGGGCACAAACUGGAAGACUCCUCAAGGUGAUGGACUGCUUUGUACUGCUGGACAGCUGCAGUGAUGUGUAGUAGUCUGUUGCUGUAAACAUCCCCGACUGGAAGCUGUAGCAGCUCGAGCUUUCAGUCAGAUGUUUGCUGCACCUGGCUAUACCUGGACAGCACCAGGAGGAAAAGAUGUCUAAACCUGCAUCUGUAGAGACAGAUUUAGUAGUUUCUGUAGACACCCUGGACUGCCUCCAAGUGAGUUGACUUUAUUUUUAUUAAUACUGCUAGUAUGAUUGAUUACAGGCUAAUCUGUAACAGGAUGGAGAUACAAAGGUAUUGCAUAUAUGUCACUCAGAACUGAAUUCUCUGCUGCUUUAUAGUAUGAGCUACAGAACUAUGGGAUGUAACAGCAAGCAGUGUCUAAUUUCUUGUACAAAUGUGCAUAAACAAAUCUUUUUUAAUGGCAUCUGUUACUAACCUGUAGAAAAACGAUUAAAUAUUGUUGAAUACUUAGCAAAUAUUUUAUUUGCUGUGCCUUGCUUUUUCUUUCUGAAAUUCCAUGUUCUGUUUCUCCUAUGGGUGGGUGGUGCUCUCAUUGUUUGUAAGCUGGAUGUUACCCAAGGCCAAAAUAAAGGUUAAAAAAGAUUGCAUGGGAUGUAUUUUUGUAGUAAAACACUGCCAAAUGUGUACAGUUGUUUGUGGUACAGUCAGCUUGCUUUGUACUACCAUUAACAGAUUAUUUUUCACAUGAAAAACAGCUUUUGAAAGUACUUUUUCAGAGUUCUCUUCGCUAAUUCUCAAAGUAAUCACCUCAUUGAGAACAGCUCUCAGCAAAACAACUUCAGUACUUUCCACUCUUCUCAGUGAGGGAUCUAGGAAGUGUGUUCUGCAGAUGUAAUUUUCUUGACCUUUAUUUGUAAAGGAUGGGAGCAGAAUAGUCUAAAGGAGUGAAUUCUACUGUUGUUUGAGUAGUAAGCGUUCUUGCAUUACCUUAGCUUUCCAGUCUUCCACCUCUGAAAAUGCUGGCUUUUGAAUGUCAAGGAAUGUGAAGCUAAAUUUUAUGUUCAGCUUAUUUGAUAAUAUGGUAAUAUAGAUUAAAAGGGUUAGCUAGAUCUAAUUUCCCUGCAGGAAUUCUGUCGAUUACAUGCAAAGAUACAGAUACUUAGAAAAAUAAAAUUUCUGAUUUCUUGAAAGUGAGGAUCCCUUAGGCCUGGGAAAGAUAGACUGCAAGUAUUGCGGAGGGCAGUGAUUCUCGAGCAUGUCAUGAAUGGCCACCAGUGAACCGAGGACAGCCAUUCUUCUGGGGCAGGUGCGUGACUGUAAAUACAGAGCUGCUGUGAUGUGGAUCCCCUGUCUGCUGGCACAGCAGUGUGUGGUGAUAGAAGGUUCUGAAGUUACAGAUAGCACUGCUGCAAUGAUCUGUUUUCAGAGUAGUUCACACACAAUACAGUUUCUGUUAAACAUUCUCUUAAAUAUGAUGUUUGGCUUGUGUACAUCUUCAAAUUUGGAAAGAGAAACACAAGCAGGAUUUACAAAUCCUUCUUCCUUUUUAAAGGAGAUCACAAAUGGUAGUCAUUUUUUCCAGAUGUUCUUCGCUGUAAAUGCUUGGCAUUCCAUAGUUCUACAUGCUACUUGGACUUAGAAGAAAUGAAGUGUUGCCUGUUAACAUUCUUCACUGCAUGAUCAAAGUAAACGUUAUCUCGUAGUUAAUCUUGUAGUCAUUUUUGUUAGUGCUGUCUUUUCACAUGCUAGAUAAGAGUAGUCAUGUGCAGUUCAUCAGCUCAGUCUUGUGGAAUUUUAUUUAUGUGCUAGUAUUUAAUACCCAUACUCAAACACAGCCAUCAUACUUCUUUACAUGAAAGCCAACUGAAGUGGUUUGUAAUGAUGGGAAAUAAAUAAAUCCACAUUGUGUUUUUACAUUACAUUUAUGUUUGGGAUUUUCUUGCUGAGAGUUUGAAAAGCCAGGAUCUCUGCUUUCUGCAUGUGAAAUACAAACUUCUGAACACAUCUCAAACAUUUGUGCUUGCAAAUGAAGAAGGCGGAGUCUUUCCAGGUUUAUGUGUUCACAUAAUGAUUUAAGUUGAAUCACUGAAUUUUAGGAAUGGAAGAGGCAGAUUUGACGUGUCAGCCUAAUCAUCAGCAAAGCUGAUUACCUUAUGUUGUUAAUGUGAUGGCUGCAACUAUUGCUUAUGAUAGAAGGAGGAGACGUAAAUCAAUUUCUACUGCUGUGUGAUGCAGUAACAUCAUAGUGGAGGCAGAUACCUAAAGGAGGAGGUUGCUAAUCCAGAGGCUGGCAGUGGAGUUGUGAACGUGCUGCUAAUUCUGGUUGUCUGUCGUGUCUAGUGCAAGUAGGAAUGGACAUGCAGACGCUUGGAAGUAGGGUGGAAUACCAAGAUCCCUGCUUGCUGAGGAAGUGGAGUGCUUAUGAAGAUGCAUGUUUAGAGUCUGAAUUAGUUGCCUGUGGUUUUCCUUCUAGUGGUUUUUAUGACCACUUAGCAGCAACACAUCAAACUCUUCAGUACUUUCAGGCUGGCCUGCAUGAAGGUCUCCCCUUGUUGUGAACUUGCAGCUGCGUUCACUAGAAAUGCUUGAGCUCAUGGUUUUUUCUUCAUACAAAGAACCAACUGUUAAGUGCUUAGAAGGCUUCCACCAGCCUUUGUGUAUGAAGAGAAAUCUGCAUCUGUGGUUCCUUCUCCCCAGUAAAUCUGCAAAACACCUGCUCAGACAAGAGCUUUGAGAAGGCUGAUGAAGUUUAUAAAGCGUUUUUUUUUCCUGGAUCGCUAAUGUUUUAGUUAUUCAAGGCUUUAGAUGCCAAGUAAGCCGCACAUUUAAAAUCUAAAAUAAGUGUUGAAGCUUAAUUGAUAGUGUUCUGUUCUCUCACUAUUGAAAUGACUCAUCUUUCUGAGUAACAAUUUGUGUGGAGAAAACUAAGAAGAUUGAAACAGCAGGGAAAGAACCUUGGAAGCAGUUUUAGAAUGGGAGUUAGUUUAGGAAAAUGUAGUGCAACUACAAGCAAAUGUAGCAAUAAAAGCUGUAAAAUUGAGUGUAUAAAGGAAACUGCUGAAAUUUUUGGUACCACAGGAGCUGAAUUUUAGCACAAAUACCAUUUGAGAAGCACAUCCUCGAGGACUCUGUCCCAGUUUGUAUGACCCUGUUGAUGUCCCAUUUGUAUUUUGGUAUUCAGUAGCAAUUCUGAUAAUGAUUUGCAUUUGAGGUUUUUAGAAGGUGCCUACUCUAAGCGUCAAAAAUCUUGGCAGGUAAGUGCAACAGAGAUAUUGAACUCCAUGGGCUGUGGGAAUUGUUUUAUUCUGUUUUUUAUCCUGUUAUCUUUAUAGUAUUAGAGACUGUACAAAUACAUUACUGUAUUCUGAUAUUUAUAAGGUUAAAUGUUAAAAAAAACAGUGCUCCAACUUUACAUCAGUAAGGUUUAAUAACUGUUGCAAAUGCCUUCUGAGUAGAAUAAGCUGUAGCAUGCACAGUGUAUUGAAAUAUGUCUGUGCCGAUUCAUUUUUGGAUAUCUUGAAAGCCAAUGCUGUAUUUAUAUUGUUAAGCUAACUUUUAGUUCCUGUAAACAUCCUACACUCAGCUAUAACAAGUGGUAGGGCUGGGGGGUGGAUGUUUACUUCAACUGACUUGGAAAGGCAGCUUUCCUGAAUGAUCAAGUGACAUUUUGGCAAGAACGGAAUGCUAUAUUUCAGUAGUAUUUAAAUAAACUUAUUGUACUCUUCUUUCUGCUGUAUUUCCAUAAAUAUCUUAAUGCAUGAUUAUUGUAAAGCAGUCUUUAACUGCUAAAAUGUGUAUCAUUUUGAUUGCAAAUAAACUGUGAUCCUGUAUCUUUGUCUUGAAAACUGCAUUCUGGUGUCCUCAGCUCCCCUAGGAUACGCUCCUGACAGGAAAAUACCCAGAAUCUAUUACUGAACGUUCAGUGUGCAGUAGCCAUCUCUUAUUUAUGAUCAACUUCUUCAGUGUCAGAGGAAGAGUGGAUAUGUUGGAUUAUGGUAAAUAGAAAUAAUAAUAUGAAAUAUUUAAGUGGUAGAACAAUUCUGUUAGGUUUGGUAGCUAACAAAAUGAAAAAUGUCUUGCUUUGAUUUGGAAGACUUGGAUAGAAGAACGUGGAUCUUUAGCUUUCCAUUUAACUCGUUUUACAUUAUGUCUUGUGAUUGGAUCCCAUUCCUAUUAGUGGUGGAUGUAUUGUUAAAUGAAAUAGAGCUCCAGCAUUUUGGGAAUAGGAAAUACUAGAUUUAACUAUUCAAAAAAGAGCUCAAGAAUGGUUUUGUUUAGGCAGAAGAAUGAAGGACAUGGGAUGCACUGUUGGGAAGUAUAAUCUGCUUUCCUGAGGAUCACUUCGAAAAUUCAUUUCCUUUAAUAUUAGGCUGUGACUCCUGAUCCGUGAUGUAUUUCCUACUUAAGGCAAACAGAUGAAAAUUACCAAGAGGAUUUUUCUCUUUUAAGAUGCAGAAGCAUAUUUUUGUUAUAUUUUUUCUUGUAUUUAUUAUGUUUUGCUGUGCUGCUUACUUUUGUUUCCAAGCUGAAGAAGUCUUUUUUAAUCAGAAGUCCUGGGCAGAUCUGAAAAAAUAUAUGGCACUGCAAUCAAUUGCAUGCAAAAGAAUGCAUCAGAAGUUCUGUAUUUGCACAGAACUUCAUUGUGCGAGUAGUGCAGUAUAAUCACACACUACUGUGUAUGUGCUUGCAUGGUUUAAAAACUUUUUUUUUAUGAACCAAUGUCACUUGUUCAGUUGGUGCAGAGCUCUGAGUUUUCCAGUUGAGGUGAGCCAGGGAAGCCUUAGGGAUGUAAGUUGUCUUCUUCAGAAGAGAUCCUGUGAUGAAGGGGAAGCUUACCUACAGAACAAUCUGCAUAUUUUUCUAUUUUUUUCUCCAGUUAAAUGCCCCAUGGCAUUGGUAACUUCACUCCAUUGCUAAUGGAGAUGCUUCUUUCCAUCUGGCUGGCAUGACAAGCAGCCAUGCUGAUGUAGCCGUGGCAUAGUGCUGUAAGGUUCAACAGCAAGAAGGAAUUCUCAAAUCAACAUUACCACCAAUCAUAAGGUGCAAAGACUCCUUUCAGCAGCACCAUUUGUCUGGAAAUAAGAGCUAUUGUGGGGUAGCGAAUAAGCAGUGUGAGCAGACUGGGUGUUUAAGUGGGGUUUCAGUGAGUUUAAAUGCACUUGAGAUGUAAAAUUCAUGUUACAAAUAGGUACAAAACAGUAGUCUUAGUCUUUUAUUACAGGAAAAUCUUGACUUUCUGGCAUGAGUGUUACAGGAGAAAAAUGUUAAACGGUGAAAUUGGUGAACAGCCUGUUGAAAGUUUAAGAUUUAAUAUAUGCUUUUUGGGAGUAUUUUGGAUUUGCAAUAGUCUGAAUUCUGUAGCGGUCUGGGAAGCAGCUGAAGUGUAGCUGUUCCUUGGAUAAAUGCAAAAAGUCAGACUUCUAACCUAGAAUACUUCUAAAGAUUCUAAGCAUAACAGCACCGAAUUUAAAACUUCUGAAGCAUGCUCAUUUUUCAUCCAUUGCGUCAGUGAUUUUUGGACAGAUAAGUCUCAGUCCCAUGGCCCCAGUGAUGGCAUAAAGCAGGGUUGGGUAAAUAGCUGGAAGAGGCCACGGUGUGUGUGAUUUAUACCAUGGUCCGGAAGUUCUGCUUAGAUAUGGUGGCAGAGGUAAGUUGUGCAGCAUCAGUCAACAAAUCUACCUCAAAGAACACAGGCACUGCUAAUGUAUUUUUUUGUUGCUUUUGAAAACAUGCAUUUACUCUUGUAUUUAAUUCUUCCUGGUUUUGUUUCCCUGAUGGUAAAAAUCCAAACUUAUUUCAAUAAAAGUAUGUUGAUACUGAU